rnacentral:rRNA from 1 species
AUUGAACGCUGGCGGCAGGCUUAACACAUGCAAGUCGAGCGGAGCGAGGGUGCUUGCACCUUAGCUUAGCGGCGGACGGGUGAGUAAUGCUUAGGAAUCUGCCGAUUAGUGGGGGACAACAUUCCGAAAGGAUGCUAAUACCGCAUACGUCCUACGGGGGAAAGCAGGGGAUCUUCGGACCUUGCGCUAAUAGAUGAGCCGAAGUCGGAUUAGCUAGUUGGUGGGGUAAAGGCCUACCAAGGCGACGAUCUGUAGCGGGUCUGAGAGGAUGAUCCGCCACACUGGGACUGAGACACGGCCCAGACUCCUACGGGAGGCAGCAGUGGGGAAUAUUGGACAAUGGGGGGAACCCUGAUCCAGCCAUGCCGCGUGUGUGAAGAAGGCCUUAUGGUUGUAAAGCACUUUAAGCGAGGAGGAGGCUCUUUUGGUUAAUACCCAAGAUGAGUGGACGUUACUCGCAGAAUAAGCACCGGCUAACUCUGUGCCAGCAGCCGCAGUAACAC